UACGUAGGGUGCGAGCGUUGUCCGGAAUCAUUGGGCGUAAAGAGCUCGUAGGCGGUCUGUCGCGUCGGUCGUGAAAACUUGGGGCUUAACCCUGAGCUUGCGGUCGAUACGGGCAUGACUGGAGUUCGGCAGGGGAGACUGGAAUUCCUGGUGUAGCGGUGAAAUGCGCAGAUAUCAGGAGGAACACCGGUGGCGAAGGCGGGUCUCUGGGCCGAUACUGACGCUGAGGAGCGAAAGCGUGGGGAGCGAACAGG
rnacentral:rRNA from 1 species